UGUUCACCAAAAACACAUUCUCCACAAAGUCGUAAGACCAUGUGUGGGGGCUGAUGUCUGCCUAGUGCCGGAAGGUCAAGGAAGUUGGUGAACUGAUGACGGCGAAGCCGGCGACCGAAGCCCCGGUGAACAGUGGCAGGAUGAAUUUCG
rnacentral:ncRNA from 1 species